AGACAAACAAUUUCUUUGUCGGUGAAUGAGUACAUUAAACUGAACAGAUGUACUGUAAUACAUUGUCUUUACUUUUAGAAUCAACUUGGCAAGGAGGCCAAAUCGUUACUUAACCCCUCAGUGACAAGACCGUUUUUCAAUUUUCUUACCGUUAAGGACCAGGGCUGUUUUUACAUUUCUGCAGUGUUUGUGUUUAGCUGUAAUUUUUCUCUUACUCAUUUACUGUACCCAGACAUGUUAUAUACAGUUUUUCUCGCCAUUAAAUGGUCUUUCUAAGGAUACCAUUAUUUUCAUCAUAUAAUAUAAUUUACUAUAAAAAAAUUAUAAAAUAUAAUGAAACAAUUAAAAAAAAACACAAUUUUUCAAAAUUUGACCCCCAAACUCUUUUAUGCAUUUACAACUGCCAAAAAACACCCGUGCUAAAUAGUUUCUAAAUUUUGUCCUGAUUUUAGAAAUACCCUCUGUUAACAUGUUCUUAGCUUUUUUUUUUUUUUUUUUGCAAGUUAUAGGGCUAUAAGUACAAGUAGGACAUUCCUGUUUCAAAAUAAAUAUUUUUAAAAUGGAUCAAUAGUGACAUUGUAACAAUGUUAUCUGUCAUAAAUCUCUGAAUCAC